CGGCUGUGGAGUGGGCUAGU
rnacentral:miRNA from 1 species